rnacentral:rRNA from 1 species
UACGGGGGGGGCAAGCGUUGUUCGGAAUUACUGGGCGUAAAGGGCUUGUAGGCGGCCAACUAAGUCAGACGUGAAAUCCCUCGGCUUAACCGGGGAACUGCAUCUGAUACUGGAUGGCUUGAGUUCGGGAGAGGGAUGUGGAAUUCCAGGUGUAGCGGUGAAAUGCGUAGAUAUCUGGAGGAACACCGGUGGCGAAGGCGGCAUCCUGGACCGACACUGACGCUGAUGAGCGAAAGCCAGGGGAGCAAACGGG